GCCAGCUGCCAUAUCGCCCUGCAACUCACAACUGGCAGCCCACUGAAGCUCAGCGGGUGUGAGCCUGGUCAGUACCUGGAUGGGAGACCUCCUGGGAAAAACUAAGGUUGCUGCUGGAA
rnacentral:rRNA from 1 species